rnacentral:rRNA from 1 species
AAGUCGUAACAAGGUAUCNUUCCACGGAAGCCUGUGUUCCCGCGACUCUAAACAUAGGAGCAAGUAGCGACAAGCUGCUACAUAAUCGAACUGCGGGGAUCUCCUAAAGCUCCGGCUACUCCCCUACCGCUGAAAAGUGGUGGGUAUAGUAAGAAUGCCGGGGAUGCUACAAUGGACGAUCCGCAGCCUAGCCCCUACCGUCACAGUACCACGGGGAAGGUUCACAGACUAAGUGAUUAUGGGUAGGGUCCCCCCUACUUAAGAUAUAGUCGGUCGGUCGGCGAGAGCUGACUGCUAGAGACGUUCCGUAGGUGAACCUGCGGAAGGAUCAUUACAGAGUUCAUGCCCUCACGGGUAGAUCUCCCACCCUUGAAUACUAUACCUUCGUUGCUUUGGCAGGCCGUGGAAACACCACGGGCCUCGGCUAGUGCGUGCCUGCCAGAGGAAACACAACUCUGUUUUUAGUGAUGUCUGAGUACUAUAUAAUAGUUAAAACUUUCAACAACGGAUCUCUUGGUUCUGGCAUCGAUGAAGAACGCAGCGAAAUGCGAUAAGUAAUGUGAAUUGCAGAAUUCAGUGAAUCAUCGAAUCUUUGAACGCACAUUGCGCCCCGUGGUAUUCCGCGGGGCAUGCCUGUUCGAGCGUCAUUUCAACCAAUCAAGCCUCGGCUUGGUCUUGGGGUUUGCGGUCCCGCAUCCCCUAAACUCAGUGGCGGUGCGAUUGAGCUCUGAGCGUAGUAAUUUUUUCUCGCUAUAGGGUCUCGAUCGUGACUUGCCAGUAACCCCCCAUUUUUAUCAGGUUGACCUCGGAUCAGGUAGGGAUACCCGCUGAACUUAA